GCAGGUAUAGUUUCAACUCAAAACAUUAGGCUGUGAUCCUAAAAAUAGAAGUUAAAUCCUUCUUACCCGCC
rnacentral:tRNA from 1 species